rnacentral:rRNA from 1 species
UUAAGCGCGCUUGAGCCAGAGACGUCUUGGGAUGGGUGACCACCUGGGAAGUCCUGGUUACCGGGUGCA